CCUACGGGAGGCUGCAGUGGGGAAUAUUGGGCAAUGGGCGCAAGCCUGACCCAGCAACGCCGCGUGAAGGAAGAAGGCUUUCGGGUUGUAAACUUCUUUUGACAGGGAAGAGUAGAAGACGGUACCUGUCGAAUAAGCCACGGCUAACUACGUGCCAGCAGCCGCGGUAAUACGGAGGUGGCAAGCGUUGUCCGGAUUUACUGGGUGUAAAGGGCGUGUAGCCGGGUUGACAAGUCAGAUGUGAAAUCCUGCGGCUUAACCGCAGAACUGCAUUUGAAACUGGUGAUCUUGAGUACUGGAGAGGCAGACGGAAUUCGUAGUGUAGCGGUGAAAUGCGUAGAUAUUAGGAGGAACACCAGUGGCGAAGGCAGUCUGCUGGACAGCAACUGACGGUGAGGCGCGAAAGCGUGGGGAGCAAACAGGAUUAGAUACCCGAGUAGUC
rnacentral:rRNA from 1 species